CCAGGACCAGGACCAGGACCAGAGAUCCUGGACUUAGAGCUCCCAGUCUGGGCUCUCUGGGGACUCAGGACUCUGGUUUGGGACUGCAGUACCUCAGUUCUCCUGAGAGGCGGCAACAGCAGGACAGACGUCCCGCAGGAGGGGGGCACUGGGUCUACGCCCCCCCGACACACACAGCAGCAUCAGCCGAGUGGAGAGACAGCGGAGGAGGCAGGAGCUGCAGAGGACGGACGCCUCCUCUGGUCGGACCAGCCUGGCU